ACAUAGGACCAAAAAAAAAAAUAGAUCUGAAGUUGACAGGACACCUGGUUGUGCAUUGCCUUGAGCAAGACGCGCAUAACCAAUAACAUGUACUGGGUACUCUCUUUCCUUGUCUAAGGGGUAAAUGAUUAAAAAAAAAUCGAAACCCAAAAAAAAGGAAGAAGAAGAAUAACUACAUAAUUUAUAAAAUUAAAAAAUAUAUUAAAAAUGAGCAAUACCAACGGAAAUCCUCCACGCAAAAAUUAUACUGAGAGAGAGAAAUGUUUGCUGUUGGAAAUAAUUGGAAAAUACAAGCAUAUUAUAAUUGAAAACAAAUAAUGUACCAAUGCUAUGUCCACCAACCAAAACAAUGAAACCUGGGAAAAAAUAGCACUGGAAUUUAAGGCCAGCGCUGAAUUUCCCAGAACUCCCAAGCAGCUGAACACUGAAAAGUAGCAAUGGAAAAUAUUCAAAAAUAUAAUGAGCAGAAGGUUUUGGACCAGUUGAAGAGAGACCAAACUGCGGACAAAAAAGACAUACUUGCACUCUGGUGGUGGCACAUUUAGGCCUCGUCUCACAGAUGUAGGGGCACAAAUGUUGGGUUUGAUUGGCAAUCAAAUCCAAUCUUUACCCAACAGUUGUUACAGUGCAUCUGGUUUCUUCACAUCUGUUGCACAAGAUAGUCAAGUGGAAGUAGAUUACCUACAAUUGGAAGACACAUAGCAGAUGUCCAAUGUACCCUCUACUUCCACUGUGCUGCUCAGUACACCCACAACAACUGCUGUCCUGCCCAAGAAGACAGCCAAGAUGUCUCAGGCUCGUUCAAAAAAUAAAAAAUUAAAAGAUGUAGGGAGCGAAACUCUUAGGGCCGGUU